AUUGCCCCAGUACGGCGAGUGAAGCGGCAACAGCUCAAAUUUGAAAUCUGGCUCUCGGGCCCGAGUUGUAAUUUGUAGAGGAUGCUUUUGGUGAGGUGCCUUCCGAGUUCCCUGGAACGGGACGCCAUAGAGGGUGAGAGCCCCGUCUGGUUGGACACCGAUCCUCUGUAAAGCUCCUUCGACGAGUCGAGUAGUUUGGGAAUGCUGCUCUAAAUGGGAGGUAUAUGUCUUCUAAAGCUAAAUACCGGCCAGAGACCGAUAGCGCACAAGUAGAGUGAUCGAAAGAUGAAAAGAACUUUGAAAAGAGAGUUAAAAAGUACGUGAAAUUGUUGAAAGGGAAGCGCUUGUGACCAGACUUGGGCUUGGUUGAUCAUCCGGGGUUCUCCCCGGUGCACUCUUCCGGCUCAGGCCAGCAUCAGUUCGCCCUGGGGGAUAAAGGCUUCGGGAAUGUGGCUCUCUCCGGGGAGUGUUAUAGCCCGCUGCGUAAUACCCUGUGGCGGACUGAGGUUCGCGCAUUCGCAAGGAUGCUGGCGUAAUGGUCAUCAGUGACCCGUCUUAAAAAAUGAAACAACAAAA
rnacentral:rRNA from 1 species